rnacentral:ribozyme from 1 species
UCGACCUCGACGCCCAGGUUGUUGUUUUCGACGGCUCAGGCACAAUCGUCGACGCAGCAUUCUACAAUCAGCUCAAAGCGUGCAAUGGAAGCAUUUGC